rnacentral:rRNA from 1 species
AGGCGGCUUUUUAAGUCGGAUGUGAAAUCCCUGAGCUUAACUUAGGAAUUGCAUUCGAUACUGGAAAGCUAGAGUAUGGGAGAGGAUGGUAGAAUUCCAGGUGUAGCGGUGAAAUGCGUAGAGAUCUGGAGGAAUACCGAUGGCGAAGGCAGCCAUCUGGCCUAAUACUGACGCUGAGGUACGAAAGCAUGGGGAGCAAACAGGAUUAGAUACCCUGGUAGUCCAUGCCGUAAACGAUGUCUACUAGCCGUUGGGGCCUUUGAGGCUUUAGUGGCGCAGCUAACGCGAUAAGUAGACCGCCUGGGGAGUACGGUCGCAAGACUAAAACUCAAAUGAAUUGACGGGGGCCCGCACAAGCGGUGGAGCAUGUGGUUUAAUUCGAUGCAACGCGAAGAACCUUACCUGGCCUUGACAUACUAAGAACUUUCCAGAGAUGGAUUGGUGCCUUCGGGAACUUAGAUACAGGUGCUGCAUGGCUGUCGUCAGCUCGUGUCGUGAGAUGUUGGGUUAAGUCCCGCAACGAGCGCAACCCUUUUCCUUAUUUGCCAGCGGGUUAUG